CGAACUUAAUCAAUUAAACCAAUUAUUCGUCGGUGAUUUUGUGUAAUUUGAUCCCUGCGCUACUGCGUGUGCAUAACCCAGAAAGAUUCUGAAACUUCGAAUUUCACCGUUAACAUAUAUAUAAAAGAAAAAAAAAAUAACAAUCGCCAUUGAUGCACUACCACAAUGCAUCAAAAGAACAGAAAAAAUUAGCCCCAAUAUCUAAUCUUUUCUUUUCUCUCAUCUUUAUAUUUUAUCCGGGACCAAAUGGAGUAGACAGACCCAAAAUCAACACCUUUUUUUUAUGUCUUUGGUAUAAGAUACUGAUUCCUUUUCACCCGAAUAUGGAAGAAGAAUAAACAUAUAAGAGAUGAAAGAAAGUAUGAAUUUUCCACAGUCAAUGUCGAGACUUUUGGUGAUUCCCAUCAGAUAAUUCUUGGUGAUUUCGACAGCCGGUUCCUGCCUUCUUCCAAGUGUUUGGGGUUUUUAAUUUUGAAGGAAUUUUGGGCUUUUGGCCGCGUGACAGAGAAAGGGUUAACGGUGAGGUGCAGUUAGAGGGGAGUUAAGGCUGACAAAAUCAUUUAAACACAUGUCAAAACAUCUCGUAAGUUGUAGCCACUUGGCUAGUGCCCGACAACAGUUUACCGUUUAAAAGUUAAAAUAAAGAAGCCCAUUUCUGCCUCGUCUCCAACAAAAAAGAAGGAAAAAAAGAAGCUUCGUUGGAGGAAAUUUUGUAGGAUAUCCAGUCCGUUGCCAGCAAAAAGUUGGCCUUUCUAUUUGAAUUCAUCGCUCUACGGGUAAGCUUUAAAAUAAAUACUAAGAAAAUGUAAAGAUGCAAAUUUUGAAUGUAUCUCUUAUUUAGAAUUUUCUGCUUUGGUUUCCUUGUAAUUUGCAUUUGGAUCUUCCAUGAUAGGGGGUGAGAGGGAGAGUUUGUCCAAAAGAGGUGAUGGAUUGUUUUGAAUUUUGAGGAAUAUUUGAAUCUACCAUUGAUGGUCUGAUGAUGAUUCAAAGGAGAGGUUUCUGGGUUUUUAAGGAAAUGAAUCAAUGAACUGAUCUGAUAUUCAAAUGUUGAAGUCUUGAAUUAUUUAAGGAUGCCAAUUUUUUUUUGUCUUUCUUUUCUUGUGAUGAUGUUUUUCAUCAUUUCCUUCUUUCUAUUUGUCCGUAGCAAUGAUUUAAAUGAUUGUAUUCACAGUUUCCUAUGUAUUCUUGAGUAUUGUUAAAUGUCUUUAGUUUGAUUGUGUUUAAUGGGCAGUAAAUGAUUAGCGUCUCUUGCUUAGAUGGUUGGUUGUCCUGCAAUACAAGUGAUGUUUGGUAGAAAUGCAGGAACAGAGGAGUUGGAGGCCUUCUAUCCCAUAAGACCAGGAUGCAUAGCCAAUACACCAAAGACCCGCUUUAGGCCCAGGGCGGGGAAAACUCUCAGUGCAAGAAGAUGACAUGCUGCAUUCUCUGAAGAUGCGUUCACCUGGAUAUAGCAAAAGUUCUUAAAUGGAUCCAAAGAGGGUUGGAAAUUGUGACAAUUUAUCACACUAACCAUCCCAAGGAGAGGUAUGGCAUGUGAAAGACUGAAUGUCAGAAUAUGGUGCCUGUCAUUGGGAGUGGAAAGUUCAUUACAACACCAAUUAUCACUGAUGAUGGCCAAACAAUAGAUGUUCAAGGUUGCCAUGUGACAGGUGCUGUUUCAGACAAGAAAGCGGCUCAGUGGAUGCUUACCUUGCAUCAAAUCUGUAUGCAUGGUGUAUAAUUUCUUGCUCAACUAAUUGGAUCUUCCAUAUACUUUUGUUUACUCUUGAGGUACUGCUCAAUCUCUUUAGUACUUAUAUUACAGCAAUAAGUUCAGUAGAUAUACUUUAAGGCUUCUGGCCUGUCUCAUACUUGAUUAUAACCUUUUCUUUUUAGGAUACAAUUCUUAUGGCCUUGAAACUUGUAAAAUUCUACCAUAGGUGCUUAUUGAUAUUCUAUGUUGUAAGCUGUGUUAAUCUAAGAAAAUUCCUAUUUCAAAAAGCAUUCUUGUUAUAAAGGGCUUCAUUUGUGGUUUUAGAUCAUCUAUGUAUCUAUCUGAUAAUUAUAAUUGUAGCUUUGUUUAAAUUUCAGUGAUCUUUAACGUACUUGAUCUAUUUGGCUUGUAGGUUUGGAUGUUAUUGAAUUGAUCAAGUGCUUACCUUUUAUGAGAAUGAAACUAAUCAGGCAAAACUUUGGGAUAUUCUUUCUAUAUAUUCAGGGGUAGAUGAUGAUAUUGGUUAUGUUCAGGGUGAGUAGCAGCUGUUGAUUGCAUUAUUUAUUACCAAGCUGAAGCUUUUUUUGUUCUCCAACACUUUGGGCUUAUUCUUUGAUGACCGGAAUGAAUGACAUAUGCUAUCCAAUUGUAAUUCUUCUUGAAAAUGAAGUAGACGCAUUUUGCUGGUUUGAGCGUGCAAUGCGAAGAAUGGUAUAAUUUUGCUUGAACUGCUUCAGAUUGUUGUUCUAUAUGAUGAUUUUAAAUGUAUAUUCAUGAAAGGGGUAGAUGAUGAUAUUGGUUAUGUUCAGGGUGAGUAGCAGCUGUUGAUUGCAUUAUUUAUUACCAAGCUGAAGCUUUUUUUGUUCUCCAACACUUUGGGCUUAUUCUUUGAUGACCGGAAUGAAUGACAUAUGCUAUCCAAUUGUAAUUCUUCUUGAAAAUGAAGCAGACGCAUUUUGCUGGUUUGAGCAUGCAAUGCGAAGAAUGAGGGAAAACUUUAGCUGCAAUACAACUUCAAUAGGAGUGAAAUCCCAGCUUGGUACACUUUCACAGGUAAUUAAAACUGUUGUCCCUAAGCUUCAUCAACGCCUUGGUCUGUGUUCCUUUGCCCCAUUAUUUUUCUAAAUUAGUUCUCUUUACCGAUUUACUCCUUGUUAUCGUUGACCUUGUUUAGUUUAAACUUAUCCUGAUAAUUUACACCAUUAGAAAAAGCUAGCUACCAGAAUCAGUUGUUAAAUAUUUAAGUACCAAUAUUAGAUAUGUAGGGGGAUCCUAUCAAACUGUUUUUAUGCCAUUUGAAACUUGAGAUCCUGACUACAGUCUAAAACUUGGUACUUAUUCCCGAUCAAGAUAAAAAAAAAAGAAAGAGAAUUAGCAAAAAAAGAUGCAGCCAAUGCCUUUCAUGGACAUCAAUAGUACCCAAAACACAACACUUUGCUUUUUUGCUUUCUUUUUCUUACCAUCUUCAUAGUCUUAUAAUUUUAUCUUGU